rnacentral:rRNA from 1 species
AACGUAGGUGGCAAGCGUUAUCCGGAUUUACUGGGCGUAAAGCGUGCGCAGGCGGCUUCUCAAGUCAGGGGUGAAAGCCCAGAGCUCAACUCUGGAAUUGCCUUUGAGACUGAGUGGCUUGAGUACGGGAGAGGUGAGUGGAAUUCCCAGUGUAGAGGUGAAAUUCGUAGAUAUUGGGAAGAACACCGGUGGCGAAGGCGGCUCACUGGCCCGUAACUGACGCUCAUGCACGACAGCGUGGGGAUCAAACAGG